UCCACACACACACACACACUCCUACCUACCUCAAAGAGCUGCUGCGUACUUCCUCCCUGCCUAGGGACAGCCCCAGAGCUGUAACACGGUGCAGCAGCUCGUAACCAGCGGAUACGGGGAGGUAAACACAUCCGCCCGACCUGCCUAGCCUCCCCCUCUCUUUCCCUUCCUCAUGAGGGCUGACAGAGGGGUUUUUCUCUCUCUAUUGUAACAAAACAGCCUUCAUAUUUAACCCUUCCCUGUCCUUCCUCUAUAUAACAGGAGCUGCUUUGCAUAUGAAGCCACACCAUUAGAAUGUGUGGGAGAGGAAUUUGGAGUCUAUAUGAGGGGAAGAUAUUUCAACACGCUGUGUGUUAUAGCUCUUACGGCAUAGUGCAGGUCAUAUAGCUGUUAUGACAUAGUGCAGGUCAUAUAGCUGUUAUGGCAUAGUGCAGGGCAUAUAGCUGUUAUGGCAUAGUGCAGGGCAUAUAGCUGUUAUGACAUAGUGCAGGGCAUAUAGCUGUUAUGACAUAGUGCAGGGCAUAUAGCUGUUAUGACAUAGUGCAGGGCAUAUAGCUGUUAUGACAUAGUGCAGGGCAUAUAGCUGUUAUGACAUAGUGCAGGGCAUAUAGCUGUUAUGACAUAGUGCAGGGCAUAUAGCUGUUAUGACAUAGUGCAGGGCAUAUAGCUGUUAUGACAUAGUGCAGGGCAUAUAGCUGUUAUGACAUAGUGCAGGGCAUAUAGCUGUUAUGACAUAGUGCAGGGCAUAUAGCUGUUAUGACAUAGUGCAGGGCAUAUAGCUGUUAUGACAUAGUGCAGGGCAUAUAGCUGUUAUGACAUAGUGCAGGUC